GGGAAGGCAGGCUCGUGGCAUCCAGGUUCAUCUUGUUUACCUCCUGUUGGCAUUGUCUCCCAGCUGGAUCAAUUCAAGGGCCAAUCAGAUGGACCAGCAUGGAGGCAUGGGGUUGGCUGAGAAGGAGAAGGAGGUACUUCCCGUGCUAAGGAAGGAAGUCGGCCUGGGAGCACAGCCUGGCAGGGCAGCUUUGGGGAUCUGGAGUCUCAGAGAGAUGGAGGGACCCAGUCAGGGGCCUGCAGGUCUGCUGGGGCGGUGCCCACAAGCAGCAUUCAUCCUGUGGAGACCUCAAAUCGUGGCUGAGAACCCUCCACUACCAGCCAGGCAGACCAUGCGGGAUCUUAGUUCCCCGACCAGGGCUUGAACUCGUGCCCCCACAGUGGAAGCGUGGAGUCCUGGAGUCCCUGAUGCUCCCUUUUUGAGUUUGGUUGAUGUGUAAUAACCACAGCACCUGAGCACCUGAUUUCCUGAGCAACUACUCAGCCGCACGUUUAUUUCCUGUGACCUUCACAACACCAUGACCCGGACUUCCCUGGUGAAGAACAGGGGUGCAGAGAUGUUAAGUAACUUGCCAAAAGCCGCAGGGCUGGAAGGCUGGAGAUGCCCUAGAUCCCAAUCCAGAGCCACGCUCCCAACCAGUCUACUGUGAGCUAAGAGAAGGACUCAUCUCUGUUUACAUCAGAUGUAGUCUGUCCCUUCUCUGCUUGUGGCUUAGGGAUGGGUAGGGAAGGAGAGUCAAGGCUGGGAGGGUUGGGGAAUCCCAGAGAGCAGAGCUCAAAGAGAACAUAAGCAGAAAGGGCCCAGGUGGACCCUCCACCAUCACCUACUGCUGACCACAGGGUGAGGGGGCCAAGACCCCUUAGAAAGGCAGCUGUGAGAGGCCUAUCCCCUCCAAUCAUAUGCUCCCCCCUUUAGCGUCACCUCUGUCUGUGCCUGGUGCUUCUUGCCAUCAAUGCCCACCUGGAGCAGUGACAACACAGCACUGAGUCCCAGCACUCAGGGGAAGAGGGACUUACUCUAGGGAACACCCAUGGGAAGGGAGACAGGCCAAUCACAGAUCCCAGGAGGAUGGUGGGGGUUGGGCGGUGGGGAAGGAGCACUUCCACUGGUCUUUGGAGGCUCCCCACCCCAUCCUGGUGGGACUGGGCUCUGGCCCCGGGUGGAGGAGCCCUGUUGCCUGUAAACUCCACAGGCCUAGGGGGUGGGGGACGCUGGAGCCCUCUCUCCCAGGUCUGCCCUCCCUCAGCAGCCCAUGUCAGAGGAACAGCCAGAGAGCUCGCCAUGGGGCCCCUGGUGGUGCUCAAGGCCCUGAAGUCCCAGUUACCAGGUGCGGGGCGGGGGACACGCUCAUCAGCUUCCUCAGCGCAUGGUGCGGUGGGGGCAGGUUUCCUGUUGUGUCCCACCCCUGAGCCUUGUUCUCCCUUCAGCUGCUCCCAGGGCAGGGGCUCAGCCUGAAAAGGUGGUCCUUGACACCUAGGGGUGGGGGCAUGGAGCUUCUUGGGAACCGGCUUACAGCUGCCCCUUUGCUCCUCUGCAUUGCCCCACUCCCCAACCCCCCACCUCCCCAGGGAGCUGGGUAGAGUUUUCUUUCUGCACUGAAAGGGAGAGGAAGAGGAAUCCAGCAGGGCUGGGGGCUUGUCUGCUCAGGGUCUCCAACAUUUUGGCCUCAGGACCCCUUUACACUCUUAAAAAUUACUGAGGCUUCCAAAGAGCUUUGUUUAUGUGGAUUAUAACUAUUGAUAUUUGUCAUAUUAAAAACAAACUGAGAAAACA